AUUGAACGCUGGCGGCAGGCUUAACACAUGCAAGUCGAACGAGUGGCGGACGGGUGAGUAAUGCUUGGGAAUCUAGCUUAUGGAGGGGGAUAACUACGGGAAACUGUAGCUAAUACCGCGUCCCAUAAGAUGAGCCCAAGUGGGAGUAGGUAGUUGGUGAUGUAAAGGCGCACCACGACGACGAUCUCUAGCUGGUCUGAGAGGAUGACCAGCAACCCUGGGACUGAGACACGGCCCAGACUCCUACGGGAGGCAGCAGUUGGGAAUAUUGCGCAAUGGGCGCAAGCCUGAUGCAGCCAUGCCGCGUGUAUGAAGAAGGCCUUCGGGUUGUAAAGUACUUUCAGCGAGGAGGCGUUACUCGCAGAAGAAGCACCGGCUAACUCCGUGCCAGCAGCCGCGGUAAUUC
rnacentral:rRNA from 1 species